UUUACGUUGGUCGUUGCUAACCCGGUCACCUGCAGGAUAGACCUGUGGAAGAGCCGUUAGAGCUCGUAAGUGGCUGGUUAGCGAGUUUAUACCACAAAAAAAACAUUUCAUAGGCUAGAUACCACCUCGGACUUCAGUUCGAGUUGGUCAAACUUUCAUUUACGCUGGGAGCAGAUUCAGAAACCAACGGAACGGCGGAAGGAAGGCAAGGAGAGAUGUCAUACUACUCAUCCCGUAGUUCAUCUCGGGCCACCGACUGCAAAGUGUAUGUGGGUGACCUGGGAAAUGGUGCUGCCAAAGGCGAGCUGGAGCGAGCGUUCAGUUAUUAUGGCCCACUAAGAAGUGUCUGGGUGGCCAGAAACCCACCUGGGUUUGCCUUUGUGGAGUUUGAGGAUCCCAGAGAUGCAGAAGAUGCUGUGAAAGGCAUGGAUGGAAAGGUCCUUUGUGGUUCCCGUGUUCGUGUUGAGAUGUCAACAGGUCUCUCCAGAAAGGGCCGUGGGCGCCCCAGCCGACGCCAGUUUGACCCCAAUGACCGGUGUUACCAGUGCGGGGACCGGGGCCACUAUGCCUACGACUGCUACCGCUUCAGCAAGAGGGGCCGUCGCAGCAGGUCUCGGUCUCGCUCCAGGUCUCGCUCCAGGUCCAGAUCCCGUGGACGCCGCUAUCGCUCUCGCUCCCGCAGCCGAAGCCAUAGUCGGAGCCGCCGCAGAUCUCCAUCCUAUUCCAGACGCAGGAGCAGGUCUGGCUCCCCAGCCCGUUCUAAGUCCAGGACUCCAGUGAGAAGUCGCUCCCGAUCUCGGUCUCGGUCCGGCUCUGCGCCAAGAGGACGCUCUGUCUCCCGAUCCCGUUCACGAUCUCAGUCAGCUAAUCACAAGAGGAACAGCGUGUGGUGGGAGCUGAGCACUGCACUGACACCGCAGCUGAUCCCAGGCCCAGGGUCUGCCAGCUGGCGGUGUGUACGUCCUGCGGGAGGGUGACUAAGAGCUGACCUGAGAUCAGCCUUCGCCUGCAUCUGGUGUUAGACAGCGAGAAAGAGGUCGACCUACCGACCAAACCCUCCCCACAGUGAAUGGGCGACCGUCUGUUCAACCGACGCACACGCUCAGACGAGAUCAGCCCGCGCACACAUACAGUUGUUCUACUAGAGUGGGCCACCCAGCCAGCCAGCCAGCCAGCCAGCCAGCCUUCAGAUGUACCAGAGGGCUGACCCACACAGAUCAGAGUUCGACCACUACCUUUUUUAAUCCAUAACCUACCUACCAGACCCCCCUACCUACCUACCAGAGUUCUUCGGCCUCUGUCUUAGCUUCUGAAAGUGAGAGAAAGAGAGCUGACGAGAGAUCAGUCUUCAAGAGCCUCCCAGCGCAGUGUCUCUCCAAGUUGUAGUCAUCCGUCCUUCAGUCCUUUCAUCCUUCGCUUCUCUGUACUUGUUGUUUCUGCCACUGUCUCCAAAGUCGUUCCCGUUCAGCAAGUCCAAACCGCAGCCCUACGCCAGCAGAUGACUGAGUGAAGAAGACUAUUAGUCCCACCCCCUUCCCCACCCACCCCCACUGUCCUUAACAGACAGACCCUCAGCCCCUGCACCAUGUCUGCUUUUUACAGCCCUACAGCAGCUGAUUUUUUGUACUUGUCUGUCUAGUCUCAGUCGUUAAAGUUUAAUUUUCUCCCAAGGACUGUAGUCUUUUUGCAGCCUCCCAUUGUUUAAGCUUUAGUCAGUAUAGCAGACAGACAUCAGUUUCCAUUGGACAGGGAUUAUUUUAAAUGUUCUUUCAUCUGCUGCCAGAGGUUAUCUUUCUUCUCAGAAGCUAUGUAGCAAGUGUAAGAAGCAACAGUUACAUUAAGGUAACACUGAAUGUUGCAGUUGACUUUUAGCAGUGGUUUGGGCAGCUCAUACAGUAAACUGCAGUUGACGAAAACCCCAUUGAUAGUUGUUGAGGGUGAGGACAUUAUAUCAAAAACUGAUUUUAUUUCCUGUGCUUAAAUUUGUGAACCUGGAGAUAUUUUCCCCCAUUGAGAAUUGGCAUAGAUAUAAUUUUUUGUAUUGCACUCCAGUAUGACUUUUGAGUUCAAAUGCUGUUUGAUGUUUCCACUCAUAAGACAUACUUACUGGCCUGCAUGCCUUUAUAUAUGAUGUCACAUUCCUACUGUUUGUUGUUUCUGUGCUGCACUGCCCUUUUUACAAACCUGAUCAGCUUCACUGUGUGCUGAAUAGAUUUUUCCCCAUGUGUUGAUUUCUGAUUUGUUCCUGUGACUUGAUUUUAAAAUAAAUACUGUGCUCAAGUUUGAUUUCUGUAAGGGCUGCUUGAACAUUUUGGUUCUGUUUCUGGCUUAUAUGGUAAGACAGUGGCAGUUUUAUUUUUGAAUAAACCUCUUCAACAAA